UGGCUUUUGCGCAAGGCUUCCCCUUGCUCAU
rnacentral:piRNA from 1 species